GUCAGGGACACCUGGCUCCGCAGAUCUCUCCUGUUAUUUGUAGAUAUACAACUCAGCAGGGUGGGUAUGUGCCUAGGAACGCUCUGUGGGUUUUUCCAAGGACAAGGGUAAUGCCCACUUCCUUGGACAGGCUUUGCUCUGAGGUAGAGGCUGGUUUCUCAAAAAUGGAGUCACAUCAGUUUUUCACUUAUCCAUAAUGGUGGGAUUCAUUGUUACAUAUUCAUAUGUGCACACUAAUAAUAUAAUUUGGCCAGUGUCAUUGCCCAGUAUUUCCCCUUUCCCUCACCUCUUUUGCCUCCCAUUCCCUUUCUCUACUCUAGUGAUAUCCAUUUGGUUUUCAUGAGAUCCCCCCACCACACAUAUCUUUCUUUUCCUUUUUACUCUCUAGCUUCCACAUAUGAGAGAAAACACAUGACCCUUGACUUUUUGAGAUUGGUUUAUUUCACUUAACAUAAUCUUCACAGUUCCAUCCAUUUUCAUGCAAAUGACUUAAUUUCAUUUUUUGUUUAUUGCUGAAUAAAACUCCAUUGUGUAUAUGUAUCACAUUUUCUUUACCCAUUCAUCCACCUAGGCUGAUUCCACAGUCUGGCUAUUGUGAAAUGUGCUGCUAUUGACAUGGGUAUGAAUUAUCAGUAUAGUAUGAUGACUUUAAUUCUUCAGGAUAAAUAUUGAGGUGUGGUGUAGCUGGGUUGUAUGGUGGUUCCAUGCCUAGUCUUUUUAGGAACCUCCAUACUGUUUUCCAUAGUGGUUUUAGUACUUUAUAACCUACCAUAGUGUAAAGCUAUUCCUUUUCUCCACAUUCUUUCCAGCAUUUAUUAUUGUUUGUAUUCUUGAUGACCACCAUUCUAACUGGAGUGAUAUGAAAUCUCAGUGUAGUUUUGAUUUGCAUUUUCCUAAUUGCUAAGGAUGUUGAACAUUUUUCAUGUAUUUGCUGAAUACAUGUAUUUCAUGUAUUUUUUCUUCUUUCUUUUUUUUGGGGGGGGGAUGGGUGGGUACAGGGGAUUGAACUCAGAGGCACUCAACCACUGAGCAACAUCCCCAGCCCUAAGUUGUAUUUUAUUAGAAACAGGGUCUCACGGAGUUGCUUAGUGCCUUGCUAUUGUUGAGGCUGGCUUUAAACUUGUAAUCCUCCUGACUCAGCCUCCCAAGCCAUUGGGAUUCCACAUGUGUGCCACAGAGCCUGGCGUAUAUAUUUUUCUUUUGGCUAGUGUGUGUUUAAUUCAUUUGCUCAUUUAUUAAUUAGGUUAUUUGUUUUUCCGGUGUGAGGUAUUUUUUUUGGUCACUUCUUUAUGUAUUUUGGAUAUUACUCUUCUGCCAGAAGAGUAGCUAGCAAAGAUUUUCUCUCAUUUUAUAGGUUCUUUUUUUCACAUUCUUAAUUGCUACCUUUGCUGUGCAGAAGCUUUUUAAAUUGAUGUCAUCCCAUUUAUUAUGUCCUGAGCAUUAUGUCCUGAGCUUUAGGGGUGCUAUUGAGAAAGCUGUUGCCUGUGCCUAUAUGCUAGAAUGUAUAGAUUUCUUUAAAAAUACAUCCUGUAAACCAAAAAAGCUAUUAAUUAACUGGAUUUAUGGUACUCUAACAUUUAUUGGACCUUUUAAAGAAAUCUAUACACUGAAGUGUAUACAUUUUCUUCUAGGAGUUGCAUAGUUUCUGGUCUAAGGUCUUUGAUCCAUUUAAGUUAAUUUUUUGUUCAGGGUAGGAGGUAAAGGUCUAGUUUCAUUUUUUUGCAUAUGGAUAAUCAGUCUUCCUAGUACCAUUUAUUUAAAAGACUGUCUUUUCUUCCAUGUAUAUUUUUGGUACCUUUGUCAAAGAUUGAAUGACUAUGUCUAUGUGGGUUUGUCUCUGUGUCUUCUAUUCUGUUCCAUUGGCUUAUGUGUCUGUUUUUAUGUCAGUAUCAUGCAAUUUUGUUGCUAUAGCUCUGUAAUAUAAUUUGAAUUCUGAUAUUAUGAUACCUCCAUCUUUUUUUUUUCAUCUUAGAAUUGUUUUGGGAUCUUGACUUGUUAUAUUUGAAUAUGCAGUGAAGAUUGUUUUAUUGUCUUAUGUUCAGUUGGCAUCACACUGUUGUUUGGUAACAAUUAUUUUAAGCAGAAAAAUUUUACAAAAAUUGCAAUAAACUGAAUUAUAUGUGAAAGAACUCAAGCCAAAAACUAAUGAUAUUCUGUGUCAGUGGAUGAUGCCUGAGGAGGUCUCUUGAAGGGAGAAAGGUCUUCAACUCGGCCUGGCAGAUUUUUGACUUACACCAUGGAAAUAA
rnacentral:lncRNA from 1 species